rnacentral:rRNA from 1 species
UACGAAGGGGGCUAGCGUUGCUCGGAAUCACUGGGCGUAAAGCGCACGUAGGCGGAUUGCUAAGUCAGGGGUGAAAUCCUGGAGCUCAACUCCAGAACUGCCUUUGAUACUGGCGACCUUGAGUCCGGGAGAGGUGAGUGGAACUGCGAGUGUAGAGGUGAAAAUUCGUAGAUAUUCGGAAGAACACCAGUGGCGAAGGCGGCUCACUGGUCCGGUACUGACGCUGAGGUGCGAAAGCGUGGGGAGCAAACAGGG